AGAUUUAAGAAAGCAUUUUACUAUAUGAUAGAAAAUCACUUUCAUAACCCUUAUAAUGAAUGUGUCAUAAAAUCACAAAAAGGGACACAUGUAUUGACUUGUGAAGUAGAUAUCCAAAGAUGAAGAAACCACACGGGUUGUCACUUUAAGAUAUUACUAUAUCCCAGGAUCAGAACCAAAGCAACUGAUAGAGUAUUAUUGCCUUUAAGAAAGAAACAUCAGAGUGGGACUCUGGAAGCGUGCAUUCACUUAGGUUGAUUAACCAAAGUGAAAGAUAAGCCAUUUUAACAAAUGGAACUUCAUAAUGGAUGAAGUACUAAUCAUAUGAAUGAAUUGUUAGUAUUACUACAAUGGUCUCAAGAUUGGAGCACAGUUUGUAUAAAGUAUACAAACGAAAUAUAUGUCGAUAUAUAGUUUUAGAAACUGCUUCAAAAGGUGUUUUGAAUGAAGAGGUUCUUAUAGAACCAAUGAUUGAAUCCAAACCAUAAGGUCGUUAGUAGGAUACUACGACGUAAUGGGGCGAUAGCUCAAGCCAUGGAAUCAAGGUCUCAUCAAAAUAUUCGAACACGAUGAAGAGACAUCAUCAAAUGUUUUUGGAAACAUUUGAUAAGUAAAUCCCUUUUAAAUAAUAAAAGGAAUUAAUACAUAACCAAGUUAACCUACGACCAUAAGCUCUCUCAGCUAAGAUGUAUAAGAUACACUAGUGAUUGACUUUAGUGCAAGUGGGAGAUUGUUGGAAAUAUGCCCUGAAAGUCAAUCUUUGGAAGAAAUCUUUCAGGACAAAUGAAUGGAUGUAUGGAUGAAUCUUAUACAUCAAAGGCAAAAACACGAAUUAGGACUAUCUCAAUGAACGAUAUAUGUCCUAAAUAGUGUAUCCAUGGACAAUAGAUUGAUUAAAGAAGUAAUCUAAUGAUGUUAGAUUACAGAGACCUUCUUCAUGUAACCAAAUGUCCAAAAGGUUCCUAGUCAUUGGAUUGUCGGAGGGAUACUGACAAUACGUAGACUGGUACAUACUGUGUCUGCUUCAAAUGGAAGGAUGGAAAGUCUCAUCCCAUUCGUGUUGUGACACUAAGACAAGUAUGUAGGUGCUCAUUUGGGGAAUGAGUUCACUGAACACAAUCGAACGAGAGUACUUGCAUGGAGGUCUACUCACAUGUCAAGCAAGUAACUCUAAUGGUUGGAAUAAUGUAAGUAGUCCUUAGACCUGAGGCAUCGUCGUUG
rnacentral:lncRNA from 1 species